GCCAUCUGCAAAGAGAGACACAGGUGCUUCAGCAAUCAGCAGGGGAAGGAACCGUUCCAAGCCUGCCGAGCGAUCCCGAGGCAGAAGGGCCCGUCACACAGCCUCCCGGACUCAGACUCAAGAAGCCUCAACGAUUCCUCUGAGUUCUCCAGAGCCUCCUGCAAGUUCUUGGGGGUCUUGGGAGGGCAACAGUCCGAGCUGAAUGCCCACUCUAUGCGAAGCGCUGAACCAAGAACUUGGGAGAGUUCAACAGGAGGCUAUCCAAGCUGCUUCUCCAACGAAAUCUUCUAUUCCCCCCGGAGCAGAAGACGGUAAAUGACUUCGAUGGUGGCGUAGCUGGGAAACAGCAGUCCCAAAGCUCCACGGGAGAAGCUGUCACCUUCUCACGUCACGGACUGAGGAACUGAGUCAACGGUCCCCCUUCCUGAAAUGUGACGCGGCCUCGGACCAAAUCGUUGCCAGAGCCGCCACACCCGGGGGCACGACGGAUACGGGAAAGGCGAGAGCAACACCCAGACCUCGAAAUGAUCUUCAUAUACCUCCCCAAAGUAUACCACGCCAUUGACGGACCACCGGUCACUGCUGAGUCAAAGUCCGGCGAGACUCACCGACAUCUUUGGGUUACCUCCGGUUGGAGCGGUUGGCGGAGACAGAGUUGAACAGAGUCGAAUGAGCCCUGGCCGCCCCGGCGAAUGGGGCCGGAGCCAGGAUACACUUCCGAUCCACCGGGAGACCCUUCCUUGACUCAAAGGCUCCCGGCGCCAUCCAAGUCUUCGAGGAGGUGUAGACGAGCGUGUUCGAAGCCCGUGCAGAGGGAAAUGGGCACAUCGGAUGGCUGAUCACUUGGUAGAUCUGGCCCGGAGCCCUGGAUUAACACUAAAUCUGGAGAAAACCAAAGCCAUCUACCAGCCGGGAAUCUGGACACACGACCCAAGAUAUUUCAUCAGCAAUACAGACGAUAAUGCUAUCCCCGAAUCCUAGGAGGUACCUUAGCCCGUGAUGCACCGGAAAACAGAGAAGUCGCAAACCUUCUGUCUGCCUGAUCUAUGGCAGAGAGGCGGGCAGACCGAGAUGACAACGGAGCUUCAGGUGGGAGUUCUGUGAAGCUGUUGUGGCAGCCCACCUCCUGUGCAGCUCAGAGAUCUGAACCUACUACGAAGGACACAGCCUCCUUCUAGCUCCCAAAAAGCACCUCCUAGAGAGCACAUCCAAUAUCCGGGGGCAGGACAAGCUUCCAACACAAAAUUCCGGAGGCCAGCUCUAUCACCGCCUCUGAAGGAAUGCUCAGAGAAGGGCAGCUCUGCCAGGGCAGAGGGGAGAUAGACCACGUAGGGGACACACUGAACGAGGGUAAACGCAAGCCGAGAGGGAAGAAUAAGCUAUUUAGAAAUAUGCUAAGCGCUUGGGAGAGUACAACAAU